AUUGAACGCUAGCGGGAUGCUUUACACAUGCAAGUCGAACGAGUGGCGGACGGGUGAGUAAUAUAUCGGAACGUGCCCAGUAGCGGGGGAUAACUACUCGCAAGAGUUGCUAAUACCGCAUACCAUCGGAUGUCCCCAAUGGGAUUAGCUAGUAGGUGGGGUAACGGCUCACCUAGGCGACGAUCCCGAGCUGGUGUGAGAGGAUGACCAGCCACAAUGGAACUGAGACACGGUCCAGACUCCGACGGGAGGCAGCAGUGGGGAAUAUUGCACAAUGGGCGCAAGCCUGAUGCAGCCAUGCCGCGUGUAUGAAGAAGGCCUUCGGGUUGUAAAGUACUUUCAGCGGGGAGGCGUUACCCGCAGAAGAAGCACCGGCUAACUCCGUGCCAGCAGCCGCGGUAAUAC
rnacentral:rRNA from 1 species